AGCGGGGAUUCACUUCGGUGAAUCUGCCGGCGAGUGGCGCACGGGUGAGUAACACGUAUGCAACCUGCCUCUGUCAGGGGUAUAACUCUGCGAAAGUAGGGCUAAUACCGCGUAUAUUCCCGGAGGGCAUCCUCCGGGGAGGAAAGGUUUCGGCCGGACAGAGAUGGGCAUGCGGCGCAUUAGGCAGUUGGCGGGGUAACGGCCCACCAAACCGACGAUGCGUAGGGGUUCUGAGAGGAAGGUCCCCCACACUGGUACUGAGACACGGACCAGACUCCUACGGGGGGCAGCAGUGAGGAAUAUUGGUCAAUGGCCGGAAGGCUGAACCAGCCAAGCCGCGUGAAGGACGAAGGUGCCAAGCAUUGUAAACUUCUUUUGUCAAGGGACAAAAUCAGGCUCGAGAGCCUGACCGAGGGUACUUGAAGAAAAAGCAUCGGCUAACUCCGUGCCAGCAGCCGCGGUAAUACGGAGGAUGCGAGCGUUAUCCGGAUUUAUUGGGUUUAAAGGGUGCGUAGGCGGGCUGUUAAGUCAGCGGUAAAAGCCCGGGGCUCAACCCCGGCGAGCCGUUGAAACUGGCUGUCUUGAGAUGUCGAGAGGUAUGCGGAAUGCGCAGUGUAGCGGUGAAAUGCUUAGAUAUUGCGCAGAACUCCGAUUGCGAAGGCAGCAUACCGGCGGCGAUCUGACGCUGAGGCACGAAAGCGUGGGUAUCGAACA
rnacentral:rRNA from 1 species